CAGUUAUCAAAGAACUGGUCAGUGACAGUAGGGACCAACUGAAACUCUGGAAUGCCAUUCAUCCACAGGAAGACAACAAUUCUCUUCAAAAGGAACAAAGUGCAUUAGAUGCUGUGUUUUCGGAACUGGAAUCAAUGUUAAUGAAUUAAUAUUCCUUCAGAAGUUACACAAAGACCCUUAUUAAGGACAACAAACUUGUAUCAAUAACAGUGGCUGUAGUUAUACUCGAUAGAUUCACCUACCACUUAGAAAAUGAAAAUGGUGUAGCAUAGAUUGAAUGAUUAUUGAAUCUUUCAGUUACUUGUUAUUCUUUAUAUCCACUCAUCUUGUACAGUUUAUUUGUUCUUAUUAAUUACAAUCAUUCUCAAAUUCACUGUGAUUAUUGUUUGUUUUGUUAUAAAUGCUGCAUUUACUAAAUUUCUCUAUCAAAAAGUUUUAAUAGCUUUUCUCUAUUUACAAGAAAAAUCUUAUAACAGAAGCACCGUAAAUCUGUACAAACAGACCCUUGAUGUUCUCAAUAACAGACUAAAAAGAGUUGUAUUGUUAGUCAAAGUUCAAAGUCUUAUUAAAACUCAAAAUACGCAUCAAGAAAUAGUAUUUAAAAUUUUUAGAGACUUAUUUCUUAAACUCAUGAAAUAAUUAAUGUACUAAACUUGUGUAUUUUCUUCUGGUGGUGUGCUCACAGUUUUCUCUGAUCAGUUGUGUUUGGUUUACUAUGUUAUUAUAGUAGGGGAAGUGAUAGUGAACAUAGUUUGUAAUUAAAUAUAGUUCAUUAUCCCUUGUUACUACUGUCUAAUUAAUAAUACAGUUCAUUAUCUCAUGUUACUACUAUCUAAUUGAUAACACAGUUUAUUAUUCCUUGUUACUAUAGUCUAAUUGAUAACACAGUUCAUUAUCCCUUGUUACUACAGUCUAAUUGAUAACACAGUUCAUUAUCUCAUGUUACUACUAUCUAAUUGAUAACACAGUUCAUUAUCUCAUGUUACUACUAUCUAAUUGAUAACACAGUUUAUUAUUCCUUAUUACUAUAGUCUAAUUGAUAACACAGUUCAUUAUCCCUUGUUACUACUGUCUAAUUGAUAACACAGUUCAUUAUCUGUUGUUACUACAGUCUAAUUGAUAACACAGUUCAUUAUCCCUUGUUACUACAGUAUAAUUGAUAACACAGUUUAUUAUUCCUUGUUACUAUAGUCUAAUUGAUAACACAGUUCAUUAUCCCUUGUUACUACAGUCUAAUUAAUAACACAGUUCAUUAUCUGUUGUUACUACAGUCUAAUUGAUAAUAUAGUUCAUUAUCCCUUGUUACUACAGUAUAAUUGAUAACACAGUUUAUUAUUCCUUGUUACUACAGUCUAAUUGAUAACACAGUUCAUUAUCUGUUGUUACUACAGUCCAAUUGAUAACACAGUUGAUUAUCCCUUGUUACUACAGUCUAAUUGAUAACACAGUUUAUUAUCCCUUGUUACUACACACUAAUUGAUAACACAGUUUAUUAUCUGUUGUUACUACAGUCUAAUUGAUAACACAGUUCAUUAUCUGUUGUUACUACAGUCCAAUUGAUAACACAGUUGAUUAUCCCUUGUUACUACAGUCUAAUUGAUAACAUAGUUUAUUAUCCCUUGUUACUGAAGUGUUACUACAGUCUAAUUGAUAACUCAGUGCAUUAGAACU
rnacentral:lncRNA from 1 species